GUCGGCUCCUCGAGGGGGUCGCAGCCCCCGGAAACCCGGAAGCCCGGAGCCGGCAACGCGGACCGGGACAAACGCGCGCGCGGCGAUGAAUUUCGUCAGAUAUGCACGCGCGCGUCUCGUCGGCGCGCUCGUUUUUCCGUAGCCGACGUGAUGAUUACGAGACUCGGUGAGCCAGACGAACUUUUUCAUCAGACGCGACCGGAAUACCUUGCAAUCCUGCGAUGAAGUCUCCUGGUUCCCCGACUGACGAGGAAUAUACCAUCAGUGAAACGCGGCAUGAAAACUGACUGCUGAUAUUUACGAUCAGAUGGAAUGCUUACUUCAAUAAAUUACAGAGAUGAUGGAGAAAGCUCGAAUUAUCAAAUUAUCAUGGGAAAACAAGCAGAAGGAGCCUUCAGUUAAUAAAGUCCACCUCGAUCCUCGGAGCGUCUCCUGCUGUCUCGUAAACGAAUCCCUAAUUACGGCGAGGGGAUGUUCCCCGCAGGGGCUUUUGCACCUGUCCCGAAGUGCUGCCACGACAGGAGCGUGCCACACCGGAAAAAGAACGGAAGAAAACGUGCGCGCGCGUGCCGAGAAGAGAGAACAAGGAAAAAAAAGCAGGAGGCACGUUAACUCCCAUGUGGUUUCCGACAGACCGUGUCGUAUGAACGCCUGUAAGAAGGGCGCGCCAUGUUGUCUGGCCAUCCCGCAUUGCGCCAGUAAAUUCGGUAAAAUCCCGGACAUAAGUCUACCCGCAGUAUCUUGUCUAUGACCAGUCCUCUUUAUUUUUCCUUGUCCUCCUGUUCGUCUCGCUUCUGCUCUCUACUUAGAAUUAUCGCCUCUCGGUUCCUCCUAAUCUUGUGGGAUUUUCCUUUCAGUUAACACCGAUGGCGACCAUGCUGUUUCGCUCCUCGGGGUUUCGAUCUCAGAUAAGGAAUCCGGAGCAGUCGGUUUCUCGGCGGUUUCGUGAUCAGCUUGCUGACUCGCAGCAGAAAGUUCCGAUGUUUGUUUCCGCUGUGCGUACUUCUCGGCGAAGCGAAAUAGCCGCGCGAAGCUAACUUGUAAGUGGCAUCGUCGGAGAUACCGCACCAUACGUUAUUCUGGGCUAUACACAUUUCCAGAAUAAUAAACUGCGUAUCAAGAUCUCCGACUCUUAUUCGUAAAUGCCAAGGAACCGAGAGGUACAGAACGGAAACUUACAAAUGCGCGCACGAACAUGGAAAUCGGACUAGCUGGGCAAGAUAUUUCACCGUCAAAAAUUAUUGAAAGCCAUGAGAGAUGAAGUAUGAUGUCUAAACACUGCAGUACGUGCGUGAAGCUACUUUCGUAUCAUGUCUGUCUCGGGGAUCGACUGGAAACGAAGCGAGAAACUCGAGGCAAUAAGCCAGCAGUCGUCUUUACAGCCUCACCAACACACGCACGCGGCGCGUGAGAUGUGUUACAUCUCGAAUUUGGGUCACACCGUUUGAAUAAGCGGUAGGGGUUGACCUGCAUUUCCUCAAACACUUUGGAGGAGGAGCUGCAUUGAAUGUGAAUAAAGAAAAACGGGGGAUCCUUUUUCGAUAGAAUACAAAAUGCUCUUCUGACGAUGGGUACGGUGAUGCUCUCUUUGCAGGACGUGCGAAGCCUUUUAAACUGCAGCGAACCGCGCUAGUGAAUUGUAAGCAUUAUCAUGAAAAGAAUUUUAUGAAAGUUUAUGCAUUCUGCAUCAUUAUUACUCCGAAUUUUAAUAGAUUUCUUUUCUCGAAAUUUCUUACGUGCAUGGAGAUGAUAAGAGAAUGCUAAUAUUUUAUAUAAAGACAGAUACGUCAGAGAAAAUGAAAUGAAAUUAUUCCACGUUCUUUUAACCGCCAUAAAGGAAUCCUAAUAUUUCGUUCAUGAUGGUAAUCAUAUUUCAACCGGGACCGUCACAUUAACCGCGAGGCAGCACGGCAACUCAGGGCAUUGCUUCAGUUUCGCUGACGGAUCGCUAAGGAUGAGGCCACUAGAAUUUAUGCUAACUCGACAGUAAUCAGAGCUGGAACAUCCGAGAGCUGGAACAACGUGGCCUGCCGAAACAGGCAUCGUACGAUUGGCUUUGAUUACAUCACAUAAUCUGAGAAAGGGCAGAGAAACAAAACUUUCUCGUGCAACAAAGUGGAGUCGCUCGAGGAAUGCUCCACUUCGAAACGAGCAGAAUCGACAAUUCCGUCUACGUAGCGACUUUACUUCCUUGAACACAUGGCAGUAUCCAAAUUUACCGGGCCAACUAUUUUAAACCACUCAUUUCUUCGAAUUAAAUCGUACGAGUGAAUCAAAGCCAAGGCGAAUCAAGGCCGCUAAAUGUGGAAUCAGGCACGCGGGUACACGUCGAAACCAUGCCUCCACUGAGUCUAUCGAACUUUAAAUAUUAUACUUGAUUUAUCAGAUAUGUUAAUUAUAAUAUAUUCAUUAAGUUCAUUAGCGCAAUCGACAUCCUAAUGUAUAUAAAAAUUUCGAAAACGGCAAUCACCUUACUAAAUAUCGAGUCAAUCAUACAAGAAUAAAUUAUUCUUUUACACAUAA
rnacentral:lncRNA from 1 species